CAAUAGCGUAUAUUAAAGUUGUUGCAGUUAAAAAGCUCGUAGUUGGAUUUCGGAGUCUGGGUGAUCAGUCGGCGGAAACGUCUGUACUGGGCGCCCUACUCUUCCUUCUGUGGACUACGUCUGUUCUUAGUUGAUCGGGCGCUGGGAUGCAGAUCGUUUACUUUGAAUAAAUUAGAGUGUUCAAAGCAGGCUAUCGCUUGAAUACGUUAGCAUGGAAUAAUAGAAUAGGACUUUGGUUCUAUUUUGUUGGUUUCUAGGGCCGAAGUAAUGAUUAACAGGGGUGGUUGGGGCCGUUUUUAUUCAGAUGUCAGAGGUGAAAUUCUUGGAUUUUCGGAAGAAAAACUGCUGCGAAAGCGUUCGGCAAGGACGUUUUCAUUAA
rnacentral:rRNA from 1 species